CAGCCGCCGCGGGAAUACGAAGGGUGCAAGCGUUAAUCGGAAUUACUGGGCGUAAAGCGCGCGUAGGUGGUUCAUUAAGUUGGAUGUGAAAGCCCUGGGCUCAACCUGGGAACUGCAUCCAAAACUGGUGAGCUAGAGUACGGUAGAGGGUAGUGGAAUUUCCUGUGUAGCGGUGAAAUGCGUAGAUAUAGGAAGGAACACCAGUGGCGAAGGCGACUACCUGGACUGAUACUGACACUGAGGUGCGAAAGCGUGGGGAGCAAACGGGAUUAGAGACCCCCGUAGUCCCUGUCUCUUAUAC
rnacentral:rRNA from 1 species